GGGGAAUAUUGCACAAUGGGCGCAAGCCUGAUGCAGCGACGCCGCGUGCGGGAUGACGGCCUCCGGGUUGUAAACCGCUUUUGAUCGGGAGCAAGCCUUCGGGUGAGUGUACCUUUCGAAUAAGCACCGGCUAACUACGUGCCAGCAGCCGCGGUAAUACGUAGGGUGCAAGCGUUAUCCGGAAUUAUUGGGCGUAAAGGGCUCGUAGGCGGUUCGUCGCGUCCGGUGUGAAAGUCCAUCGCUUAACGGUGGAUCCGCGCCGGGUACGGGCGGGCUUGAGUGCGGUAGGGGAGACUGGAAUUCCCGGUGUAACGGUGGAAUGUGUAGAUAUCGGGAAGAACACCAAUGGCGAAGGCAGGUCUCUGGGCCGUCACUGACGCUGAGGAGCGAAAGCGUGGGGAGCGAAC
rnacentral:rRNA from 1 species